rnacentral:rRNA from 1 species
UACAGAGGUCUCAAGCGUUGUUCGGAAUUACUGGGCGUAAAGAGUGUGUAGGCGGCUCGUUGCGUCGGCUGUGAAAACCCGCAGCUCAACUGUGGGCUUGCAGCUGAUACGGGCGGGCUUGGAUUCGGUAGGGGAGACUGGAAUUCCUGGUGUAGCGGUGAAAUGCGCAGAUAUCAGGAGGAACACCGGUGGCGAAGGCGGGUCUCUGGGCCGAUAUCGACGCUGAGGAGCGAAAGCGUGGGGAGCGAACAGG